ACGAACGCUGGCGGCGUGCUUCACACAUGCAAGUCGAACGGAAAGGCCCUGCUUUUGUGGGGUGCUCGAGUGGCGAACGGGUGAGUAACACGUGAGUAACCUGCCCUUGACUUUGGGAUAACUUCAGGAAACUGGGGCUAAUACCGGAUAGGAGCUCCUGCUGCAUGGUGGGGGUUGGAAAGUUUCGGCGGUUGGGGAUGGACUCGCGGCUUAUCAGCUUGUUGGUGGGGUAGUGGCUUACCAAGGCUUUGACGGGUAGCCGGCCUGAGAGGGUGACCGGCCACAUUGGGACUGAGAUACGGCCCAGACUCCUACGGGAGGCAGCAGUGGGGAAUAUUGCACAAUGGGCGGAAGCCUGAUGCAGCAACGCCGCGUGCGGGAUGACGGCCUUCGGGUUGGAAACCGCUUUCGCCUGUGACGAAGCGUGAGUGACGGUAAUGGGGAAAGAAGCACCGGCUAACUACGU
rnacentral:rRNA from 1 species